GAUGAACGCUGGCGGCGUGCCUAAUACAUGCAAGUCGAGCGAACGGACGAGAAGCUUGCUUCUCUGAUGUUAGCGGCGGACGGGUGAGUAACACGUGGAUAACCUACCUAUAAGACUGGGAUAACUUCGGGAAACCGGAGCUAAUACCGGAUAAUAUUUUGAACCGCAUGGUUCAAAAGUGAAAGACGGUCUUGCUGUCACUUAUAGAUGGAUCCGCGCUGCAUUAGCUAGUUGGUAAGGUAACGGCUUACCAAGGCAACGAUGCAUAGCCGACCUGAGAGGGUGAUCGGCCACACUGGAACUGAGACACGGUCCUGACUCCUACGGGAGGCAGCAGUAGGGAAUCCUACGCAAUGGGCGAAAGCCUGACGGAGCAACGCCGCGUGAGUGAUGAAGGUCUUCGGAUCGUAAAACUCUGUUAUUAGGGAAGAACAUAUGUGUAAGUAACUGUGCACAUCUUGACGGUACCUAAUCAGAAAGCCACGGCUAACUACGUG
rnacentral:rRNA from 1 species